CGCACCCCCCCCCCCAAGACAUUUUUGGCCGAUAACACCAAUUUUCCUAUCAUAAGAGGCCGUUAGGACAACAACAAGUCCAUUAUGAACAAUGCAAUAUCACUUUGCUUGACAAGCUAAGCUUGAUCCUGGAAAGAGAGGAGCUCCCAAAAAGAGAUGCCAUAGCUGCAAUGGCAGCAAUGCCCUUGCACGAAGAGUUUGUACAACGUGCAAGGCCACUUUCCCUCCCCCCAAAAAGAAGGAAAUGAGGGGGGAUGGGAAUAUCACCCACCAAAGGAGACAUCUUUUUGAUAGGGCAGAUGUCCUUCAAAAGGAGCACGGCGUGGAUGUGGUCGUCCUUAUGUUUGGACGGCACGGCAAAGGGACGACCACAUCCUGCUACGGCACAAGAGGAAGUGGCGUGAAGUUUAUCGGGGACCAGCAGGAGGCCAAACCUGACGAGGAUGGCCAACUUGCCUUCCGCUUGUUUGAUAGAUUCAUGAGAGCCCAAAGAAAACACCCGCGGCAACAACACCACCCACGGGGGCACCCGCGGCGACAACACCACCCACGGCAGCACCCGCGGCGACAACACCACCCACGGGGGCACCCGCGGCGACAACACCACCCAAGGCGGCGUCAACAUGAACAUAGCAUGCUCCAUGUACAAAACAAAAUAAAUCAGUUUAUAUUUCAA